CCGAUAGAGAAGUGCAUCAGUGAAACUGUCAGCAAUUCAGCCUCCUGCCAGCACAGAAGCAGCCAGUGCCUGUGCCUGCAUCCCUGAGAUGGUACCUGGAGAAGAAUGAUCUUCCCAAAAGCACCAGGAAAGGAAAUCAGCAUCAGAGGCUGAUGUUUCUUUUUACUUAACGCUGGUGUGCCUGUGAAACUGAGUGAGGAGCAUUCAGUGUUAGAGGUACUGGAUCAUGGCUGUCACAGUUUGGUAGUAGUGCUUUGAUGGAAAUAAUGUGAGGAAAACCUGAAGAGGCGUUGUCCAAACGUCGCAGCUGUCGCGGUACUCCCAGCUCCGAGAGCACAUUCCAGGCUGUGCGGUGACUGGCUCCCUGUGCCUGCAGUGUGGCGCUCGCGGCGCCAGGGGACGCGACGCGGGGACGGGCAGCGCCACGGCUCGGGGCCGGCAGGCCGCGGCAGUCCCUGUCCUGGGGGAUAUUUUAAUGAUCCUGAAGAACGAGAAGGGGAGCAACCAGCAAUAGUUUACAGUACUUACUUUACAGAAGUACUUUCACACGUUCUUGUAUUCUUUUUCGUCAGCUUCCGUUCUUCCCCUGGCACUGCAUUUGAUAUAGUAAAGGCCGGGCCAGCUUCUUUUCCCUUGUAGCCCAUGUUAAAAUGCACGUGAUUCUGGGGUUUGGGAUAAAGUGUGGCAGGGAGGUGCUUCAUCCACUGUCCACUGAGCUACCUUAGUUGAAACAAAUAGGACUUUUUUGUCAUCUCCUCUUGUAUCGCAGCAAAUUCCAUGUCUUUUAUAGUCUUUCUUCCGUUGAGCAUUUUGAAAGCCACUUCUGGUUUGCUCUUCUAGACAGAGAAAUAGGUGCACAGAAUCAGUUAUUAAGGGAGAACUUUUUAUCAAGGUUUCAAGCUAUGGUCGCUUUCUCAUUUUUGUAAAACUUGUGGAAAAUUUCAAUAUCUCAAUCACACUGAGUUAUAUCUAGACAAUCAAUUCAAAGUUAAAGGGUGAGUCGGGGACACUGAAAAUUCAUCAUUACAUAAACUGAAGAAACCAAGCUAAGAAUAGCCCUCAGUGCAGUAGGAUCAAGCAGAGCCUCAAUUAUGUAUGCAUAAAAGUCUGUCUGUAUGAAACCUAUUUUGUGACUACUUCAUGGUGAAUAUGGUAGGAGUAAUAGACAAAAACAGAAGGGCUGAUAAUAGAAAAAAAAAAGAAAGAUUGGUGUCACCUUUAUUUUUAUAUCUUUUCAAAACUGGACUGUUACAGCAAAGUUGUCAGUGUAAUUCUUUAUGGCAAGUUGUCUUUCUUAAAUAAAUGAGCUGUAAGCUAACAAUUACAGAUGUGAAAAAAGAAAAACUACAUUAACUACAUGAGCAAUACGGUAUUUUUUCUGCUAUUAGUGUAAACUGAACUGAAUGCAGGCCAUAAACAUACUGCACCUCUAGCAAUUUUUUCUCUUGAAUGUAUGUAACUGUUAAUGUACACUGAAGCAGAGGAUCAAAACCCAUUCAAAUGUAGUGUUUCUGUAUCCCAAAUCUGUUCUGUCUUUCAUGUGUGGUUAUACAUGUGAGUUUGUAUGAGAAAUACUUUUCUAGGAUAAAAAUUCACAAUUUGGAAGUGAUGAAAAUAGCAAAUUUACAUUUGUUCUCCAUCAAAAUAAUGCACACAGUGAUAAAACAAAUUUGCCCAAUCCUGAAAUCAACAAGCACCAUGAAUUUAAGAUUUUCUCUGGUAAAGAUAUUCUAAGCAUUGAUACCACAAAGACAAUAAAUCAAAUGUUAGAGCAUUUGUAUUCAAAUGAAUUGGCAAGGAACAUACUGCCAUGGGAAAAAGCAAAAUAUUCAGACUGUCUGCUGUCCUCUAUACUGUAGUGAGACUAAAACUAAAUUUUAUUUCAAAGGUGAUGCCUGUGUGUCUAAUCUUCCUGUCAUCUGCCUAUCUCAUGUUCAUCGUUGCAACAGAAAGGCAGGCAUUACGUAGUACUUCAGACUCAGUAAAAUAAAAGGGUGUAUGACAUCCCACUCACACAAUGACUUUUUCCAAUAACAUGAAGUCUGUGGGUUGAGCCACAGGCAAUAACCCACAGUGCCAUAACCAGAACUUGUACACUGCUUCUGUCCCAAUCCUAGCCUGCUUAUCCUGCUGCUCUGACAGGAAUUUGAGUGACUUCUCCCACAUGCCAGCAGUCCAAAAUAUAUAUUUGAUAUUCUUAGGGCAACAUAAGUACUAUAAAAAUGCGUAGUUUCUUUGCUAUAUGGAGCUUAUGCAUUGUCUUCAUAGAAAUUUCUACACUGUACAAUAGACGUGACUGUGCUUGAAAUGAUGAUGGGCAGCAAACUGGUACACUAGGACAGGGAUAGCUUUUCUGAAGCUAAAAUAAGGUGUUAGUCACUGUCAUUGUUGUGCAAGUGCAGCUAAGAGAUAAAUAGGGUUUCCACCACUUUGAUGGAGAGGAGCUUCAUAGCUCCUGCAAUUUGGCAAAGCUGGUUGGGUAAACAGUACUACUGUUCUUUGUCUUUUUUCCCCAGUUUUGUUAUCUAAGCACUGCUAGAAGACUAACUGAGAGCAGGGCCCCUUUCUUCUGUGUGGUGGUAGAGAACCCUUGCGUCAGUGAAGUCUUUGAGAUUUUAACCAAAGUAACUUUGGGUUUAUCCAUCUUUUGCUGGGUAAUAAUAAGAUGUACUAACUUCAGUGUAUUAUCAGAACAUAUCCUUUAAGCAGCAGACCAUGUUUUAAAGAAAAUCUGUCCCUUGUAGAAGAAACUGUUUUGGUAAAAAAAAAAUCAGAUGGAAACUUCAAUUUUAGCUGAAAGUGCAGCAGCAAAUUUAGUGGAGGAGUUGAGACAGUUGCUGUUCCAGUAGUGACACUGAGCGGUAGCAAGCAUAUGCUACAAGUAGGAUAAUGGCAAUGGUGAGAGAUGGCUGUGUCUGUACUGGAGAUGCAUUUGGUCCUGAAAAUGGCACGUUUUUGAAAUGAAUCUUCUAAGCAGCUGUUAAAUUAAAAAAAAAAAAAAAGCCUCUGACAAAUCUCUUACUUAAAAUUAAAGCUAGUUGGAUUCAUAACAAUGUAACUAGUAAAAAUAUUCUUCUUAAGACA